rnacentral:rRNA from 1 species
AUGAACGCUAGCGGCAGGCUUAAUACAUGCAAGUUGAGGGGCAGCAUGAUAUACGCGAGUAUAUUGAUGGCGACCGGCGGACGGGUGAGUAAUAGGUAGGAGACCUACCUCAUACAGGGGGAUAGCAUAGAGAAAUCUGUGGUAAUACCCCAUGAGGUUAUAUGAAUAGAGGCAUAUAAUCAAAGCAUAAGCGAUUAUGCGGUAUGAGAGGGGCCUACUGACCAUUAGCUAGUUGGUGAGGUAAGGGCUCACCAAGGCGAAGAUGGUUAGGGGUUUUGAGAGAGAGACCCCCCCACAUUGGAACUGAGAGACGGUCCAGACUCCUACGGGAGGCAGCAGUAGGGAAUAUUGGGCAAUGGGCGAAAGCCUGACCCAGCCAUGCCGCGUGAAGGAAGACGGCCUUAUAGGUUGUAAACUUCUUUACUACGCGAAUAGAGGUUAGUACGAGAUACUAAUAGGAAGGUAGUGUAGUAAAAAGCACCGGCUAACUCCGUG